rnacentral:rRNA from 1 species
UACGUAGGGGGCGAGCGUUGUCCGGAUUUAUUGGGCGUAAAGAGCGUGUAGGCGGCCAGGUAGGUCUGCUGUGAAAACUCGAGGCUCAACCUCGAGACGUCGGCGGAAACCAUCUGGCUAGAGUCCGGAAGAGGAGAGUGGAAUUCCUGGUGUAGCGGUGAAAUGCGCAGAUAUCAGGAAGAACACCCGGGGCGAAGGCGGCUCUCUGGGACGGUACUGACGCUGAGACGCGAAAGCGUGGGGAGCGAACAGG